rnacentral:rRNA from 1 species
GAUGAACGCUGGCGGCGUGCCUAAUACAUGCAAGUCGAGCGAACGGACGAGAAGCUUGCUUUUCUGAUGUUAGCGGCGGACGGGUGAAUAACACGUGGAUAACCUACCUAUAAGACUGGGAUAAUUUCGGGAAACCGGAGCUAAUACCGGAUAAUAUUUUGAACCGCAUGGUUCAAAAGUGAAAGACGGUCUUGCUGUCACUUAUAGAUGGAUCCGCGCUGCAUUAGCUAGUUGGUAAGGUAACGGCUUACCAAGGCAACGAUGCAUAGCCGACCUGAGAGGGUGAUCGGCCACACUGGAACUGAGACACGGUCCAGACUCCUACGGGAGGCAGCAGUAGGGAAUCUUCCGCAAUGGGCGAAAGCCUGACGGAGCAACGCCGCGUGAGUGAUGAAGGUCUUCGGAUCGUAAAACUCUGUUAUUAGGGAAGAACAUAUGUGUAAGUAACUGUGCACAUCUUGACGGUACCUAAUCAGAAAGCCACGGCUAACUACGUG